AUUUAUAUAGUUUAAAGUAAAACAUUACACUUUCACUGUAAAAAUAUUAUUUAAUUAUAAAUU
rnacentral:tRNA from 1 species